rnacentral:rRNA from 1 species
GAUAAACGCUGGCGGCGUGCAUAACACAUGCAAGUCGAACGAUGAAGAUUAAAAGAUUUCUUCGGAAUGAACUUAAUUGGAUUAGUGGCGGACGGGUGAGUAACGCGUGAGUAACCUGCCUUGUACAAGGGGAUAGCCGUUGGAAACGACGAAUAAUACCCUAUGACAUCAAAUAAUCGCAUGAUAAUUUGAUCAAAGAUUUAUCGGUAUAAGAUGGACUCGCGUCUGAUUAGCUAGUUGGUAGAGUAAAAGCCUACCAAGGCAACGAGCAGUAGCCGGCUGGAGAGCGUGUACGGCCGGAUUGGGAUAGGGACACGGCCCAGACUCCAGCGAGAGGCAGGAGUGGGUACAUAAGGACAAGGGGGGAAACGCUGAUGCAGCGACGGCGCGAGAUUGAGAAGGCCGUCGGGUUGUAAAAUUCUUUUGUAUGGGAAGAAAAUGACAGUACCAGACGAAUAAGGACCGGCUAAUUACGUG